GAAGCAGGGUUUAAAAGGUUGUACUGAGGAAUACUGAAGUGCUGAUGCUUGAAGCUAUUCUUGCUGUCAGUCGUGCAUCCUCCAUCAAUUGCACUUUCAGGCAAUAAUGGGGCAAAAGAACAGAUCUUCACAACCAUACAUGCUCAGUGGAUUUUCUUUAUGGGCAAUGAAAGGAUGCACCUUAGUAUUUUCAAGGUUUUCUAUUUGUGUGAUUUUCCAUCCAAUCUGUAAUUUCAGUCAUGCUAAAGCAUCGUUUUAACUUCUCUGGGAAUGUAAAGGGUUACCCAGAUGUUUUGGAGUGGCUGAGGGAUGAUCCACGCAGCUGUCAGACUGCUCAGCAUGAACAGGUUGGCAACUUGGACAGAGCUCAUUGUGAGGUUGAGUGGGAGCUUCCAAGGCCUCGGUGGUUACCCCCAACACCUAGCGAUGGCAUGGCCUGGAGCUGGCGACUGGGACAGGUGGCCACAGUGGAUCAAGCCUGACUCUGUGUUAUUGGAACUGACGGAUUAGACCCAGUACAUUUUGAUGGUAUUGUUGGUGACUUAGCUUUGCUUGUUGAAGAUGUCCGGAAGGUGUGCCAUUUCUGCUGGGGCGGCAAGGGAAUGUGCUUUGCAAUUACCUUCUGUGAUUCAGCCUGGCAAAUCAGUAUGUGACCUCACAUACAUCACAUAGAACAGAUGGUCCUGCUGGGAUACUAAAUAAAUUUGUUUUGAGAGAACCUGCAGAGAUGCUCAUUCUUGAUGUCUUUGAGAACUGCCUGCUCAGCCCUGCACACUACUCCCGCCACGUAGGCUGAGUUGGUGACCAAAAUAAUUGGCUCCAACAACUUCUCAAAGGUUCUCAUGACUGCGGCCAGUUCUGUGACCUGGGGCGACCCCUCCACAAACUCAACAUCAGCUUCCAAAUGUUGAGUCUGGGGACUUCUCCAUGUCAUCACCAACUUGUGGGAUGCCCCAGAUGCGUCAGUGAACACUGUGAGCACUUUGAGUGGCCUACAAGUCCUUUUCUCAGGAGGAAUGAGGUGUAAUUCCUCAUUAAACAGUUUAUGUGAUGGAGCGUGGACUGAUAUUUAUCUAUUGCAGUUGUCCAGAGAUAGAUGGGGGUUGGCAUUGCUCUGGAGCACAUGCUUGAACAUCUCUUUGAUCAGCCUCUUGGGAGAGUUCUUUCCCUCCUUAGAAAGUUUGACUGGGGGUGGAAUACACUUAAAGUCACAACCAGCCAGCUCAUGCAGUCUCACCCUGGCCUUCCAGAUCAGCUGAGCUAUUAGCUCUUGUGGCUGUGUGAUGGUUUUGGAUCGCUGGUGGGAGAGAAAAACCUACUCUGUGAUUAAGAGUGAAUCCUUCUGGCCUUCAAUCCAUUGGAAUAUCAAGCCAUGUACAUGUCAUAGCUUUCCCAGGACAAUGAAUUUGAAAGGCAGCACAGGCUGAUAACAAUGAGCCUAUCUCUCGGCCAAAGCCUUCUGUGCUUUUUGUAUUGCAGGGUUUGCCUCUGGGGUCAGUUCCCAGGGAGAAACUAGCUCUCUCUCCCCUUUUAAUAAAUUGAGGAGGGGAUCUAGGUCCUCACUGGUGAGGCCUAGCCAGGGCCUGACCCAUUUCAAAGACCCACACAGGGAAUGGAGACCUGCUAGGGUUUUUGGAUCACUAUUGAUUUCCAACUUCUGUGGAACAAUGGCCUGCGCAGUGAUCUCCAAGCCCACGUACUUCCAAGGUGGCAUCCUCUGAACCUUGUCUUCCUGCAGUUGGAGUCCAGCAGAGGUUAA